ensembl:lncRNA
UGGUUAUUUGUUCUUGGAGGAUGGACUUCGAUUGGUGGUUCAGAGCUUUGUGUCUCACCUUUAUAAUCGUCUCAGUACUAGCAGAGAGAAUCAUGGGAAAUGUGGCAAAGAACAGCAACAAGUAAACAGAAAGGAUGAAGAUCUGCAACAAACGAUGCAGAGAAUGAGGACAACUGAUCAGAUGACACAAACGCAUGCAGGUCAGGUCAAAUGUGAUUGGACCGGACAUUUGAUGACAACGAUGAUGAUUUGUUGUUGACCUCAACAUUGGUCAGUCUUUCUCCUUGGGAUGGUCAUGGGUGACUCAAAUGUUCGUGCCCAGAGGGACAGCCAGUCAAAGUCACAGUGUUUGUACGGGUGGCAGGUCACUUGUGGCCGGAGGGAAGAUCUAGUCUUGAAUCCUCAUGGGUCUUUAUGAGGUUUAUCUGCUCAUGUGCUGUUAGAGCAAACCUGACAUGACCGGACAUGAUGUUUCGCUGCACCUGACCAAUGGGCAUGUCUGAUCCGUGUUACAUGUCUCAUGAUUACAGUGCAUGACCCGUCUGACAUCCGUAAGACCCUCGUAAACCCACAAACUGCCAGCGUAAGAUCAUCCUGUCUUGUCGAGGUAAAGCCCGACCCGUGACAUGUGCCAGCUCAGGAUGAUGAGGGAAUGUAAUGUCCUGUGACACGAAUAUGGAUUCAGAAAGUGUUUAGAGCAGAUUAAAAUUUCCUUUCAUGUUUAUUUUCUUUGAUCCAUCUUAAUCUGGUUGGAAUAUUACUUCUGAGCAUUCUUCGGUUGUGUCCCAUCUGUGACGAUAUGCAUUUUAAUCUACUGUGAAAUCUAAUAAGAACAAAAGUUACGACAUCUCGAGCCAUCUUCUCGAUCAGAGGUCACUGAAUGCAUUCAGAAGAUGAAUCCUGUAAAACAAAUCACUUCUGAUCUGCUGUACCUUCAUUAAAAGAUGGAUCACUUAAUCAUUUCAGUGAAAAAAGAGACUAUUUAUUUAUUUAUUUAUUUAUUUAGUAUUACUGUAGUACAGUGCAAUAAAUAAAUAAUAUAUUAUUUAAGAAUUUACACAUGAUGGCAAUAAUUGUUUCACUUUCUUUUAAUCUGUGCAUAUUAAAAUAUAAUGUAUUAAAGUAAUGUUUUGACUAUAACAGAAUAAACUCGUUCAUUUGCGGCU